UUAGUUCAUGGUCAGCUGACUCCAUGGCUGUGGACCUGUGGUGAGGCCCAGCAUCAUGGCAGAGGACAUGGUGGGGCAGACCUGCUUACCUCAAGGAGGCUGGGAAGCAGAGUGGAGAGGGAGGAAAGGGCCAGGAACAGGAUGUGACCUGCCAGGGCCUGCCCCCAGUGACCUACUUCCUCCAGCAAGACCUCACAGUUUUCACCAGCUCCCAGGACUGCCUUCAAAUUAUAAAUCCAUCUGUGAGUGAAUCCACAGAGAGUCAGAGCCCUCGUGAUCCAGUCUCUGUCCAAGAGCCCCACCUCUGAGAACGGCUGCACUGGGGACUCAACCUUCAUCACAGGGGACUUUCAGGGACAGCCCAGAUCCGAACCAUGACAAUAACCUUGAAGGGAUGCCUGUGCCCGGACCCUUGACAGCCCCGAAGGGAAACAGCUGCCCGUAACGUUUCUGCACUACACAUAACAAGAACUGGUUGAAGUCUUCAAGGAAAAAUAUGGAUCCAUAAGUGGAAAGAUAGGACCCAAGGACCAUCCUAACAGCUGUGUGGCUCUCGGAGGAGAGAAGCCACAGUCCGAUGGCUUCAUGUCCUCACGAUGAGGAGGAGCAGAUGAACCCUGUGUGGGAAAAGCUAAAUAACAAUAUGUCAGACAAACAGUAAUAAUACUCCAAAGAGUGAUGACAUACCGAGGAGUAAUGAGCUCUCCACCAGCUGGAUGUGACUUCAGAUUUAUGCCUAACUGGCUUCUUUACCGGAGUGAGACCUCACAAUGUGUGACUGAUAAAUAGCGGGGCUUGUUGAUAUUUUUAUAGUGCCACUUCUCCCAGUGCAGAAGUCCCUGAUUUAUUACAGGUUUUAAAACUAAAAUCUGGAGCACAUUUCCCCAUUGAAAUGAUAUAAUAAAUGGUGAUUAAGCAUCAGA